GAUGAAGAACGUAGCGAAAUGCGAUACGUAAUGUGAAUUGCAGAAUUCAGUGAAUCAUCGAAUCUUUGAACGCAUAUUGCGCUCUCUGGUAUUCCGGAGAGCAUGCUUGUUUGAGUAUCAGUAAACACCUCAACUUCCAUAUCUUUUUUGAAAUGGGAGUUGGACUUGAGUGAUCCCAACGCUUUUCCUCACCGAAAAGUGGCGGGUUACUUGAAAUGCAGGUGCAGCUGGACUUUUCUCUGAGCUAUAAGCAUAUCUAUUUAGUCUGCCUAAAAAACAGAUUAUUACCUUUGCUGCAGCUAACAUAAAGGAGAUUAGUUCUUGUGCUGACUGAUGCAGGAUUCACAAAGACAGGCUUCGGCCGACUUUGUAAACUAGAUCUCAAAUCAAGUAAGACUACCCGCUGAACUUAAGCAUAUCAAUAAGCGGAGGA
rnacentral:misc_RNA from 1 species